rnacentral:rRNA from 1 species
GACGAACGCUGGCGGCGUGCUUAACACAUGCAAGUCGAACGGAGCACCUUUGAAAGAGACUUCGGUCAAUGGAUGAGACUGCUUAGUGGCGGACGGGUGAGUAACGCGUGAGGAACCUGCCUUUCAGAGGGGGACAACAGUUGGAAACGACUGCUAAUACCGCAUGAUGCAUGAUCAGGGCAUCCUGGACAUGCCAAAGAUUUAUCGCUGAAGAUGGCCUCGCGUCUGAUUAGCUAGUUGGUGAGGUAACGGCCCACCAUGCCGACGAUUGGUAGCCGGACUGAGAGGUUGAACGGCCACAUUGGGACUGAGACACGGCCCAG